ensembl:lncRNA
CAUUAGUGACAGUGACCAGUGGCAACAGGAUGUGGGCGUGUCCAGUGGACACAUUGAAGUUAAGAAAAGUUUGACAGUAUGCAAAUGAGGAGCGAAGCAGCGACUACCAAUGGGAAUGAAGAUAACAGAUCUCCAACUAUUCAAAAUGUCUCAGUCUUUAGCAAUGCUGGCUGCUGGGGGCAAAGGCUGCCCUUCACUCUGAGGCGUCUCUUCUUCUGACUUCUCUCAUGGAAACUGCCGGCGCCGCACUGAAUUAAUCAGGCCAUUCCAGAGGAGCAGACCUUCAGUGCCUGAGUUUAAGACAGAGCCACAAGUCCAGGUGUGACUCUCACUAUUAGAACAUGAAUAAAAUGACUAUUCUAGGCA